AUAGAAUAUGAAGCUCUCUGUGGUAGGUCAUAAAAAUAUAUAUAGUUUUGUUAAAUCUGGUUCACAUCCAAAUCGUGACCAUACCUGGUACGGCCAUGUGUAUCCCACAUCCAAACAAAAAUAUCACACACACACACCCACACCCACACACACACACACCCACACACACACACACACACACACACAAACACACACGUGCAUGUACAGACAAACGCAUGCAUACGAACCUGCUUAUAAAAGUCGAGCAUCCCUCUAGGCUUUAUAAUACUCUGUACUUAGAACAACGUGUGCGAUCUUACAACAUGGCUGAUGUUUGUCCUAACGCGCCGAAAAAAGCUCACCCUUUUUUGGGAAGAAUAGAAAAAAUGUUAGAACAUGAAAAGAUUCAAUAUUGGGUAAUGUCAAACGGAUGUACAGCCGGGUUUUUUUUCGAUGCAGAAAAAGGAACCGUUUUGCUUUUCAAGUUCUCGGUCCCGGGAACACACGAUCUUUUCCUUUCACGUAGAAUAUGAAGCACUCCGAGUCAGGCCUAGGUCAAAAGGUCAACAACGUAAAACCCCCGUUCUGAUGCAUUCCCGAGCACAAACACACACCCCCCCCACACACACACACACACUCGAAUGCAUACGAACCUGUUUAUAAAGUCGAGCACUUCGAAAGUUUUAACAUCGGAAAAGGUUCGACCGAAUUUCCAGAGUCAGUUCUUCACUACUUCGAAAGUUUGAACAUCGGCAAAGUUCAACAGAAUUUCCAGACCCCAUGGAUUUCUCGGCAGGUAAAAAUUUGUAUUUUAAUCAAUUAAUAGUUAAAUAUAAAUUGAAAUACAAUGUUUAUGUAAUUAUCCAGUAGGCAAUGAUAUUGAUAUAAACUUAGAACUAAUCAUUCUGAGUACAAAAAUCAUCAUACUUAUCUGGUCAUUAUGUAAUCUGGUACGAUACUUUAUCUAAAUUGUAAAUAUUCAUUACAUUUAUAUUACAGUGCAAGACCGAGUUAAGCUCAUCUGUUUCUAGUGUAUAGGUAAUUAAAAUUUGUCUCUUAGAUCUAUGUAGUGAUCUAAAAUGAGAAUGUUAAGUUAUUAAAAGUAUGUUUUACUGUUUUAUAGACAGCUUGGUGAUUAUUUCUGAUGAUGAGAUUCCCGAAACAACCACUCAGGACCUUUUGAAUCUGAGUUCCACACAAUUUGAGGGAAACGUGUCUAACAGUGAUUACGACGGAGAUAUUUCAGAUACGAGUGCUGCAAUAGAAGACCAAGAGGAAAUCAUCUCGGAAACCGACAUUCAACAAGACAUCAAACUACAACAGAUCUGCGCAGUGUGGCGUGAAUUCUUCGAAGCAAAGACUGAUUUAUUGGAAAACUUUGGACAGAUUGAUUAUACACUUGAAUCUGGUCGAGGUACAGAUUUUAUCCCUUUACUGUACAGCACGCUUGAAAAUGUGAAUAGAUGUCUCACAGUGAGCAUAAAGUUGAUUAGAAAAUUGUAUGAUAGAUAUGGCGCAGAAACGACUGAAAUGCAGUUCGGAUAUGGAGAUUAAAAAAAAGAGAACCGAAAAUUCUCCAUUAUCGCAUGAUUUCUUUUAUGACGGAAACCAGAGUUUUUCAAAUGAUUCGCACACACCCCUGAACCCAUAUUUAACUGAAGCGAUCAACAGGCUGAACGAAAGUUUAAUACCGUCACACCAAGUCGUUAGUGAGAGACAUAAUCAGAGUCC